GCGCACCCCGCCCCGCCGCCGCCUCGCCAUCCCCCGAGGCCCGCUCGAGGCGCGGGCCGCAGGGCCGGGGCCCUCUCCGCGGCUCCCCGCCGCCCUGCUCCGGGGUGCGGCCCCGAGGCCCUGGGGAACUCAGGCUGGGGCUGGGCCUGGGCCUGUUCGCAGCAGGCCGGAAACUCGGGCCUGCCCUCAGGCGGCGGCGCUCGCCUCGGCCCAGCCUCCCCGCCUCCCGCGCUGAGGUGUGGGAGCGCCAGCCCCGUUGCACCGUUCUCAAACUGGCCAAGACGCGUUCGUUCCCGAAAGCCGAUUAGCUAUCACGAUGAGCACGGGAAAUAACUGAAACGAUAGCGUGGAAAACUGUGAUUUCCACUCAGCAAGAGUAUUGUGUCGGAAAGCGUGCUUGACUUCUACGGGGUUCCCAGUUUCAAUACCGGUGUGGACAAAACAAUAUUGGUUGCCAUUUCAGUAAAGAAUGUUGCCCGCCAUCAAGCCACCAGCUACACCAGCCACUGCAACCACUCUCCAUGGUGUGCCCUGAGUGGAUUCCAGGAUGGAGAAAAAGAGGAUACUGGCCCUAGAUAGUUAUGAUGCAGACCAGAGGAAUAAUUUCUCUGAGCCCAGACUCUUGCAUCUUCCCAUGCAUAGAAAAGCAUUAAAAUCAUCAACUUGA